UGCUUUUGUAGCAAUACGAAAGUAUCCUAGUGGCGAACGGGUGAGUAACGCGUUGGUGACCUACCCCAAAGUGUGGGAUAACAGUUCGAAAGGAUUGCUAAUACCGCAUGUGGUUAUCGGAUUUAGAAACUGAUAACUAAAGGAGUAAUCCGCUUUGGGAGGGACCUGCGUCCCAUCAGCUAGUUGGUGAGGUAAUGGCUCGCCAAGGCUACGACGGGUAGGGGACCUGAGAGGGUGACCCCCCACAAUGGAACUGAAACACGGUCCAUACACCUACGGGUGGCAGCAGUAGGGAAUAUUGCACAAUGGGCGAAAGCCUGAUGCAGCAACGCCGCGUGUGCGAUGAAGGCCUUCGGG
rnacentral:rRNA from 1 species